UAUCACAGGUAGACUUCAGCCAAGCUUCUUCGUAGCUGGAUCCCGGAUGAGCUUUUACAAUGGGACAAAAUCCACCGACCAGGUCGCUACUCCGAGCUCCCACGACAACCGAUCUUCGACCGAGCUCCUACAAUAAGCGGUCUCCUUUCAGCCUUCUACAAGAACCAGACUCCAUCUGAACUUCCAUAGCAGAUGGAUAUCGGACGAGCUUC
rnacentral:lncRNA from 1 species